CUGAUGCAGCCAUGCCGCGUGUAUGAAGAAGGCCUUCGGGUUGUAAAGUACUUUCAGUCGUGAGGAAGGUGGCGUCGUUAAUAGCACUAUCAUUUGACGUUAGCGACAGAAGAAGCACCGGCUAACUCCGUGCCAGCAGCCGCGGUAAUACGGAGGGUGCGAGCGUUAAUCGGAAUUACUGGGCGUAAAGCGCAUGCAGGUGGUUUGUUAAGUCAGAUGUGAAAGCCCGGGGCUCAACCUCGGAAUAGCAUUUGAAACUGGCAGACUAGAGUACUGUAGAGGGGGGUAGAAUUUCAGGUGUAGCGGUGAAAUGCGUAGAGAUCUGAAGGAAUACCGGUGGCGAAGGCGGCCCCCUGGACAGAUACUGACACUCAGAUGCGAAAGCGUGGGGAGCAAACAGGAUUAGAUACCCUGGUAGUCCACGCCGUAAACGAUGUCUACUUGGAGGUUGUGGCCUUGAGCCGUGGCUUUCGGAGCUAACGCGUUAAGUAGACCGCCUGGGGAGUACGGUCGCAAGAUUAAAACUCAAAUGAAUUGACGGGGGCCCGCACAAGCGGUGGAGCAUGUGGUUUAAUUCGAUGCAACGCGAAGAACCUUACCUACUCUUGACAUCCAGAGAACUUUCCAGAGAUGGAUUGGUGCCUUCGGGAACUCUGAGACAGGUGCUGCAUGGCUGUCGUCAGCUCGUGUUGUGAAAUGUUGGGUUAAGUCCCGCAACGAGCGCAACCCUUAUCCUUGUUUGCCAGCGAGUAAUGUCGGGAACUCCAGGGAGACUGCCGGUGAUAAACCGGAGGAAGGUGGGGACGACGUCAAGUCAUCAUGGCCCUUACGAGUAGGGCUACACACGUGCUACAAUGGCGCAUACAGAGGGC
rnacentral:rRNA from 1 species